rnacentral:rRNA from 1 species
CCUACGGGAGGCAGCAGUGGGGAAUAUUGGUCAAUGGCCGUAAGGCUGAACCAGCCAAGUAGCGUGAGGGAAGACUGCCCUAUGGGUUGUAAACCUCUUUUAUGCGGGGAUAAAGGUGUCCACGUGUGGAUGUUUGCAGGUACCGCAUGAAUAAGGACCGGCUAAUUCCGUGCCAGCAGCCGCGGUAAU